GUCUGCCAAUUGAUAUUUUAUCGUGUGUUUUUCUAUGUUGUGAUGUUAUGCUAUUGUUUCAGAAAAAGGGAGAAGGUUUGGAUCCAUUAAAACGUUUAAUCCCGCUACAAAUGUUUGCACCUGUCCAAAGUCAGGAAUCUGAUGUACAGUAGUUGUCGUUUGUUUAUGUAAUAUAUAUGUGUUUCUCGUUUCUCGUUUUUUUUAUA
rnacentral:lncRNA from 1 species